rnacentral:rRNA from 1 species
UACGUAGGGGGCAAGCGUUGUCCGGAAUCAUUGGGCGUAAAGAGCGUGUAGGCGGUUCGGUAAGUCGGCUGUGAAAGUCCAGGGCUCAACCCUGGGAUGCCGGUCGAUACUGCCGGACUAGAGUUCGGAAGAGGCGAGUGGAAUUCCCGGUGUAGCGGUGAAAUGCGCAGAUAUCGGGAGGAACACCUAUGGGCGAAGGCAGCUGCGCUGGGACGUUACUGACGCUGGAGACGCGAAAGCGUGGGGAGCAAACAGG